rnacentral:rRNA from 1 species
AUUGAACGCUGGCGGCAGGCCUAACACAUGCAAGUCGAGCGGAUGAAGGGAGCUUGCUCCUGGAUUCAGCGGCGGACGGGUGAGUAAUGCCUAGGAAUCUGCCUGGUAGUGGGGGAUAACGUCCGGAAACGGGCGCUAAUACCGCAUACGUCCUGAGGGAGAAAGUGGGGGAUCUUCGGACCUCACGCUAUCAGAUGAGCCUAGGUCGGAUUAGCUAGUUGGUGGGGUAAAGGCCUACCAAGGCGACGAUCCGUAACUGGUCUGAGAGGAUGAUCAGUCACACGGGAGCUGAGACACGGUCCAUACUCCUACGGGACGCAGCAGUGGGGAAUAGUGGACAAUGGGCGAAAGCCUGAUCCAGCCAUGCCGCGUGUGUGAAGAAGGUCUUCGGAUUGGAAAGCACGUUAAGUUGGGAGGAAGGGCAGUAAGUUAAUACCUUGCUGUUUUGACGGUACCAGCAGAAUAAGCACCGGCUAACUUCGUG